CUAAAACUAAUGCACUUUAAUACAAUAAAUGCUCCUUCAUGAAGAUUUCAAUGUCCACUUUGCGAUGUAACUGUUUUAAAGGGAUGUUAAUUUGUAUUCAUAACAUUUUGUUCGAUGUGUAAAGAGUCUGCUUUGAUUUAAGAAAUCAAAGGUUUGGUUUGUAACAUACACAAAUUAAAUGUGUGGUGGGACAGUACUACGGUGCAAUGAAUGAGAGGGAUUGGAUUACAGGUAAAAAGAAAAGAUUGAGGAAAAGAUGUGUGAAUAAUGAAAAUUCAAAGUAAAAAAAAUUAUAUUUUAAGUAUUGAAAUUUGUACACAAUUUUUUAUUCAGAAUAUAAAAGUGUAAAAUGUACACGUGUAGCAAUUUUAAGGCAACGUAUGCAAUUAAAUUUACACAAACUUGAGUGCACAUAUACAAGUAGGUAUGCCCAUCUCCAAAGCAAAUACAGAGAUCAAUGUACCAGAUGGGGUUGAGGAUGUACAGAGGUCAAAGACAACACAUAUUGAUAUAAUAGGCACAAAUAUAUCUUACACUAUUUAGUGUAUCCUACACACGUCUAGUUUAAUCACACUUUAAAUAUGGUAAAAUGAUGCAUCUAUUACAGGGAUAAUAGUCAUUUUUCAUCAGAUGAACUUGCAGCGACUGCAGCAGAUCAAAGUGUCUAAAGUUUUGACAGCCCUUCACAUCAAACUUCUUCCUCGAACAUCACUGGCUGCCUGCGCUGCUUUCCCUCUCCAGUAACUCUGAUUAACAGCCUGUAGGCUGUAUGGCUCAUACUGAUGAUGCUGCAGCAGCCUUUACUCCAGCUACACGACAAGCUGCCAGCUUGUACUGACAUUAGGCUUGAGGAGUUAAAAAACGACUGUGUCGAGCGUGAGAAACAGUAUGAUCUUGUCAUUUUACCACAUAUAGAAUUAGUUUUGUCAAUAAAUGGUGCAGCGUCUGGCAGUUGAAAGCAAAGCGAUGUUCUCAGAGUCAAAUCUAUGACUUUGACAAGAGAAGAAACUGUGUUCUUUCUGUUCUGGUUUGAAUUAUUCAACACCAGACAUUCUUCUUCACAGUGUCUGCUACUUCUCAAGUGACUGGUUGAGCAUUUGACUGACGGAAAGUUAAUGAAUUCCAAUUUCAAUAAAUUAUUUGUGUGGCUAUUGCACAUAGACUGUAUAGAAAGAUGGAUAACACGUCUCCACUUGCUCCCACUAUCCAGAGAUGAAAUAAAAAUAUCUCGGAUUUGAUAGCUGCCAUCUUGCACCCGUGAUAAGGGGAAUACACACACUUGACCAUCAGUCUCAGCUGUAAACCAUGUGUGGUAAGAACUACCUAAAAUCGCAGAAACCAUCUUUGAAAAAAACUUGUUUGACGUGUAAAAAGAACGUAGAUCUGUCAUGGACACCUUAGUUUAAUGAGAGGUGGGAAACAAUUCUUUCUUCCAUCUACUCCCAUUCAUACAGAUUUGUUUUUCUGCCUGACUGAUGCUCUCCUUAUGGAUCCAGUGUGUGGUAUAUUGCACGUGGUGGGAGGCUGACCCCUAAAGACACUGGAGAAAGUCUCUUGCUGUGACAGCUCAGACGAGCUACAGUAUAGGUGUGUAAACAAAGCGAAACCAUGAAAUCUUUGAGUGCUUAAAUCUUUCAUCUCUCUAAAACAAAAUGCAACUUUAUUUCCAGCACAGAAAAGUGAAAUUGUAAUUCUAGUCCACACAAACUCACUUAUCACACUCCCUUUCAACUUCCGCGGCAGAACAGUUCUCCCAAAGGACCCUGACAAAAAUACAGGCAUUGUCUUUGAUCUAGAUUCUCUUUGUCGAACGCAUGAAGGCAUAUCCCAAAAUCCAAACUCUUUCUUCACAAUGAUACUCAGAAGUUGGCAUUUAGGUAGACCUCCUAUGGGUUUGGGGGUGGCCCAUGGCGGUGACAGCCAUUACAGCCUCAAAAGGGGAAAAUUAAGAAUGAAGUAAAACUUAAAAGAAAUGUAAAAAGUUAAGUUGUGUUUUCCCCACAUGGAUGCAUUAUACACCUUUCUAUAUAAUGGCUACACAUCCUUUUUAAUGUAAUAUUGUUGAGUCUAUGCUACUUCUCACUCGUAAAAAUUAAAUAAAAUAGUUCAUGUAGCUCCAGGGAACACAAACUGAGAUGUUUACUAAGAUGUAUUUUGAGAAAGUGUGUUUUCACUGUUUCUGUCUCUGGGGUCAGGGUCUUGGUCAACAACAGAUUAUUGGGGUUUUUUGUGGUCUCAUAUUUAGUCUCUGCCAACUAGAUUCAGUAUAGAUAAAUGUGUUCUUUUGCAGAGGAAAUGCAUGUUUUGACACACACACACACCCUCACACACACAAACUCGACUUCACAUUGACUUAUAUUUAUUUCCUGGAGACUUACUCCAACCUGAACCAUAGUUACUAAUUGCCUAACCCUUAGCCAAACCUAAACCUAAACCUAAACUUAACUUAAAGCUAACCCUAAAAUAUGUCUUCACCAAAUUUACUGGUUUGCUUACAGGGACUUGCUUUUCUUCCCAAGGAAGACAAGCCGCUAUAAUGUGACAUUGUAGACAGAUUUAGGUCCCCACAACAGUAAUACUUGGACACCACACACACGCACACGCACACAUGCACGCCCCUAAGCCAAGGCUGCUGUUCAUGUUCCCCAGCACAUGUUCACGUGUUGACAGCCCCAGAGUGAGAGACCUUUGCUGGACUUGCAGACAAACUGAUCCCCCAGUUUUAUUUUUUAAUUCCUUCCAGAACUGGCUGCUGCUGCUGCAACACACAGUAUUACUGGCUGUCCCAGCCCCACACUUAAAGAUUAUUUCCUGUUAUUAAAAAUCCUGAUCCUGAACACUCCUGAGCAUCACAAAGUAUGACAAUAUCAUAACCUGCAGCACCACAUCAUCAUCAUCAUAUAAAAGAAAGUAGAAUGAUGCUUAGAGAGUACAUACUUCUGCCAAGGGAAAAUACCCAUCUCUCCAUGUUGAAGAAAGUGAAAAGCUGCAUACAAAAUGUAAUGGUUCCUCCUUGGUCAUAACCGACCCCUCGACAAAAUUUGAUCAAAAUCGGUUCAGCAGUUUGUGACGGCCCUGGCCUUAUGUGUUUCCCUGGCUGUGUUGUCUGUUGCAGGUGGUUUGCUGCUUUGUUUUGCCUGACUUCCUGGUUACUGGGAGGCUCCCCCUACUCUUGAUUGCUGACUCACUGCACCUGCAACAGAAUUAAGACCUUAAAUCCGAGCUGAAGCGAAGAAGUUUGGACACUUCGGGUUUGAAGAGCGUUCUUCUAGCGAGGCUGAAACAGGCUGUCGAGGAUGAAGGUGUGUCCCCGAAAAGAUGCAGCUUUCAGGUGAUGCGAUACCUCGGAAAGUUGGAAAAGCUAAAGUGAAAAAAACGGAUUCAGACGCCGACACCACCGUGGAAGAAGAUGUCCUUUACAAGGAAACUGAAGAGUAUUGUUGUGUUUACAGACAAAUUAAUGCUUGGUUGCUGUUACAGCAGUUACUCCUCCCCACCAGUAGGAGGUGAGGAGAGGCAGUGAAGAGUGAAAGAGGGAGCAGAGAGUGAGAAAAUGUGCUGUACGCUGUGAGCAAGGUACAACUUAUGAGGACGCCAUGGCCACGCUAGUGAAGCACUUCAUCCCAAAAGUGAAUGUGCUAGCAUGCAGACACAUUCAGACGGCGUCUGCAGAGGGUUGAUGAAACUGUUACACAGUAUGUGGCGGAUUUGAGAGCUUUGGCUGCGCCGUGUGGUUUUGGACAAGAUGCUACUAGAAGAGGAUCUCACGCUGGACAAAGCCCCGACCAUUUCAUGCCAAGUGGAGGCAGCGGCCAAAAAUGCCACGCUGUUUUCUCCCACCAGCCGGUUCCGGUUGCGCCAGUACAGAAACACCAUCAUCUGACCGUCACAAGCAGGCAAGUGAUAAUCAGAAUCAAGGUAACAUCUGACUGCAAUUGCGGAAGCUCCUGCACUGAAAGACAUGGCAGCACUACGUUCCUUCUUGGGCUUGACUUCGUGGUUCAGCAAGUUCCUGUCAAACUAUGUGACAGUGGUGGAACCACUGAGACAACUGCUCCUCACGAAUACACAAGCUGAAUUCCAGUGGACUGCUGCAGACGAUAAAAGCUUCAUUAAACUCAAAACGAUGCUUCUGAAGAGCCCAGUGCUCUCCAUCUACAACCCCAAACUGCCAACAUUCAUCAUCACAGAUGCCUCAGAUUAUGGGUUGGGUGCUGUCCUGACGCAGUUGCACUCAGACAAUGUAGAGCGCAUUGUUGCCUUCGCUACCCGCACCCUAUCAGCUGCUGAGAGGAAGUACUCCACAGUAGAAAAGGAGGCACUCGCCUGUGUGUGGGCAGUUGAAAAAUGGAGAACUUAUGUGUGGGGACACAGAUUGACACUCAGAACUGAUCACAAAGCCCUCCCAACGCUACUCAGCACCAGAGGCAUGAACAGAGCUGGCAUGAGAGUUGCACGUUGGUCAUCUAGACUGAUGUGUUUCCAGUACGACAUGCAGUAUCGUGCAGGUAGCCAGAACAUCAUGGCAGACUGCCUCUCACGUGUUCCACUCAGCAACUCCUGUACUGCUGCAGAUCCUGAACAGGACUUAGUCUCAGAGAUAGCCGAGAUUUUACCUCUACUGACUGCACUGCCGCUCGCAGAUUUCAAAGCCGAAUGUAAGGACUGCUCUUUACACAACUACGACAAGUCCUUCACUCAGGGUGGCCCAAGUUGAAAAAGUCACUCCCAGACGAGAUACAGCCGUACUUCCUGGUACGUCAUGAGCUUGCAGUUGAGUCACCGCUGGUCUUCCGUGGAAACCGCCUGGUUGUUCCCAAGUCUGUACGAAAGAGAACAAUACACCUAGCUCACGAAUCUCUCUACCCAGAGGGAUCUCAGGAAGCACCAAGGGCUGACACAGAUGAGGAAAACUGCAGCCCAACAGAGACUAACACUGUGCUUCACAGAGAGAGACAACCACCAGCUCGGACUAAAGACUGUGAUGAACUAGAUCUACGUCCAAGAUAAGAAGACAUGCAAAGGUUGCAUCCUUAAAAAAAAACAAGACAACAGCAGUAACGUGAAUUUGAGUUCUGUACAGAUUUCAGAAGAGUCAGUGCUAUCACUAAGCCGGAUUGUUACCCAAUGCCAUGGAUUGUGUGGAUGAGGUAAGGAGUGCAAUAUUUGUGACAAAGCUGGAUCUUUUGAAGGGCUAUUGGCAAGUACCACUGACACAAAGGGCAAAAGACAUCUGUGCUUUUAUUACACCUGGGGGACUGUUCAUACCACAUCAUGCCAUUUGGGUUGCGGAACACUCCAGCGCCUAAUGAAUAAGGUUUUGCAAGGGCUUUCUGGAUGUAAUGGGUAUUUAGAUGAUGUUGUUGUGUUCAAUGACUCUUGGGACGGUCAUGUUCAAUGUCUCAAGGCUGUGUUUGAUCAUCUGGUUGAGGCCAAUCUGACAAUUAACUUGUCAAAAUGUGAGUUUGCUAAGGCCACAGUAACUUAUCUGGGUAAGGUUGUGGGCCAAGGGGAAGUACGACCCGUCAGGGCCAAAGUUGAGGCUAUGGAAAAGUACCCAGUGCCAACAACAAAGAAAGAGCUGGGGAGGUUUUUGGGUUUGGUUGGGUAUUACUGGUGUUUUUGUCUAAGUUUUUCCUCUGUGGUGGCCCUACUGACAAACCUUCUUGGUAGAAAGGCUGUAUUUGUGUGGUCUCCCCAAUGUCAAGCUGCUUUUGUUGCUGUGAAAAGCCUGCUCUGUUGCUCUCCUGUGCUUGCAGCUCCAAACUUUGAGAAGUCUUUUAAAAUUCAGGUGGAUGCCAGUGGAGUUGGUGCCUGAGCCGUACUGUCGCAAGAAGGGGGAGGGGGCAUUGACCACCCAGUCUGUUUCUUCUCACGUGGUUUGCUGCUUUGUUUUGCCUGACUUCCUGGUUACUGGGAGGCUCCGCCUUCCCUUGAUUGCUGACUCACUGCACCUGCAAGGCCGAGUAUAAAGGCCAGGCUGCAUUCGACUGAUCUCGCUCUCUCCCUGGACAGCCGAGCUCCUGCUCCUUGGUUGUACUGUUGCUCUCUGCCAUACAACACAAGCUACAUACACACGGUUUUCACUACAUUCCACACCUCCACCACACACUGACAACUGACUUGACAUUCAUACAUGUUGUUAUUCUGUUGAUUAUAUUAAAAUAUGUUGCUUUGAUUCAA